UCAGAUCCUCUGGAUCUGGAAUUCUGGGUAGCUGUGAGCAUCUAAACCCAGGCUGCUGCAAGUGUAUUGCAGUAAGUGCUGUUAGCUGCUGAGCUCUCCAGUUUGAGCCUCCAGUUUGUUUUAGACUUUGGGAUGGGGGUGCUUUUUGGGUUGUUUUGUUUUGUUUUUUCCCGGGGUUUUAUAUUGUGGAUGUUGGGAGAGUUUUGGGGUUUUUUUGUUUGGUUGGGUUUUUGGUUUGCAGGUUUGUUUUUGAAAUAGAUUCUUGCUAUGUAGCUCAAACUGGCCUUGAGUUGAGCAUCGUCCUGCCUUAGCCUCCCAGAGGUUGGAUUAUCGGUGUGCGCCACCACACCUGGCUUCAUUAGACACAAUCUUAUUAGCGUAUAUUAACUUUAUAAGACACGGGGUUUCAGCUGGGUGUAGUCUCGG
ensembl:sense_intronic